AUGAAAGUGAAAAGUGAAAGUGAAGUCGCUCAGUCAUGUCCAACUCCUAGCGACCCCAUGGACAGCAGAUUUUCCAGGCAAGUGGGUUGCUUCUGGGUUGCUUUCAGGCAAAUGAUCAGCUGUGCGCGCGCCCAGCCAUCCUCCCUGUUGCAUUGUAUUUCAGGUGGACAAGCGUGGGCUUUUCGGCUGCAACCCCAGAGGCGCCUGCGGCCACCACAUCACCCCUCCCUUUGCAGGGUCCUCUUCCUUUUCUCUGACUCUGCUUUGGAGAGUGCUUCCUUAGCUUCGGGAAGAGGCUGUAAUCUAACUCAUCGUCUGUUUGCUCUGAAAGCCAGCGUGGACGUGCAGAGGCCAACUGGAUCACCGUCAGUAACUGUGCUGCCGGUCUGCGAAGCCAGCCCGGCCUCUGCAGGGGGUUCCUGCACUCACUGUGUGUGUGUGUGUGAAGUCACUUCAGUCGCGUCUGACUCUUUGCAGCCUCUCCAGGCAAGAAUACGGGCAAUAUUCUCCAGGCAAUACUCCAGGCAAAAUUCUCCAGGCAAGAAUACUGGAGCAAAUUGCCAUGCCCUCCUCCAGGGCAUCUUCCCGACACAGGGAUCAAACCCCUGUCUCCUGGGUAUCCUGCAUUGUCCAGCAGGUUCUUUACCAUUAGCACCACCUGGGAAGGCCCCCUCAUUCACUGGAAAGGGAUCAAAUAUUUAAUGAGGAGAAAUUAUAAAAGGUUUAGAAAUGCUAGGCUUACACAGACACCACCAUGAAUGUGGGUUUCUUAAACAGUUUCCCUUCUCUUUGGCGUUUUUGCCUUUGUGAAUGUGUCUUCUUUCUUCAAUGGCUAAAGGAUCAAAAUGCAGACACCACAGCGUGAAGAAGCAGCAGGAUCCGAAUGGAAAUCCUGAAUCCACUUCUCGAGGAAACCGCGUUACAGCGCCGGGUCCCCUGGGUGCCUUUGUGGCCUUUCUCUCUUUUCAUCUUGUUUCAUCACCGGCGAGGGGGCAGGCCAGUCCCCCGUCCGCGGUCCAAUCCGGUGCGGAGGUUCAGGCUGUCUCCAAGGGAACCGGGACCGUCUUCCUGUUGCUUCCGCCACCCCCUCCAAGUCCUGUAAGCGCGUCUCUCAUGUAACAGGAAAACACGCAAGAGGGGAGCUUUGCCUGCUGAUGAGAAGAAAUCACUCGGCCCGGCGGGUCUGCGGAUGGUGGCUUCCCAUCGGGCUUCCUCCUCCCCUGCUACUGUGGGGGUCAGGGGCCCGCGGUGCACGGAGCCCCCCAGACAGCAGGUUCACAGGCCCAGCAGUGGGGAGCGACAGGACGCUACAAACGUGGAGGUGGUGGGAGCAGGUUGCCAUGGCGACACAGGUGAAGGCCCAGUCGGCGCAAGGCCAGCCUGGUUUCUGUCUGCUUGUGGGUAGAGCAUCCUCUUCUGGUUGGAGGGUCCUGCGAGCCUCUCCCAACCCCCCAGCCUCACAGUGACCUGCACAGGAGAGGAGCUUCACACAGGGGCUGUGUUUGUCCGACUCAGAAACGUGCGAUGACACGGUGCUCAUCCUUAGUAUGUGAAAUGCAGUCUCUUCUCUUCUACUACAUUUAUAGUAUACAGAGUAUGUUGCAUUAUUUUCUCUCCUGUUCCAUAAAAAAUGAUUCACUAAACUGAAUCCAUGACCCUAGCGGUUGCAGACUUGAGGUUUGGAAAAGUUCCCAGAUUAAUGAAUAAACUUUCAGGUGCUUUCCUAAGUGUGGUCAGAGGCUCACUUGCUUCCUUUCCUCUUUGAGGCAGAAAGAAACAGAGGCACAGAUUCACAGACUUUCCUCCCGGGGUCCCAGCUGAGCCGGCAGGGUCUGGGCAGCCGGGCCAGGGUCCUCCCCAGUGUCCACUGCCUCCCGGCUCAGGCAGAGAAGAAAUGUCUCCAGUUGCAGAGGAGAAGCUUGUUUUUUAGCCAGUUUUAGCAGAGAAAGACUGAGGGCAGGAGGAGAAGGGGGCGACAGAGGAUGAGACGGUUGCAUGGCAUCACCGACUCAAUGGACAUGAGUCUGAGCAAGCUCUGGGAGUUGGUGACGGACAGGGAAGCCUGGUGUGCUGCAGUCCAUGGGGUCGCAGAGAGUCAGAUAUGGCUUAGCCACUGAACAGCAAACGACACUGGAAUACCGUGGCCUUUACUUGAGGGCUCUAACUGGUGUACGAAGGCACUAGCAUGCGAUUUCUUCCUUUUCUUUAAAAAAUGUUUUUCAGGGAUAAAGGUCCAUGUUCUUGGUAUUCCCAAAUCUCCCAAAGCAAUUCAUCUCAAUUUAGAACAUUCUCUGGGAAGGUGUCCUCCGGUUUGUAAAGUCCACACACAUUGUCAACACAUUUUCCUCUAGAAAUGCGUUUCUAUUUGUCUUUAUUUUUGUUUUCAAUACUGAGUUCAUUCAAUUUAAAUUUCUCUCUUUAGAAUUUAUUCUACCUGCUUCUGAGUUGUAGUUAUUUGAUGCCAUAGUAAAUCAGUAGGGCCCCAGAAUCAUUAGUAUAAUUACUUAUUGAAAAAAUAAGACUUUGUAACGAAGCACAAGAGUAUGAGAAUUCUCACAGGAGUGUGAUAUUUAUUUGAAAUUGCACAAAGCUGGUUCUGUGCUUUUCUCUUAUUUUUUCUAGUGUGCCGUUCUUUUCUUUCCUUCUGUCUUUCUUUUCCUCACUUAAUCUCUCUUUCCCUCUCAUUGAUUCUUGAGGCUGUGUGUGAUUGUCUGUUUUGAAAUGUCAGCAGUCUUUCUCUUUAGUCAUUUACACUCUGGGCCAGUUAAACAGCCAGGCCCUUCACCUUCCUGUCUGUUCCAUCCUCACCCUCGUCACCUUCACAGCAGCGGGGUCUAAGCUGCCCAGAGAACGUGGGCUGACUCAGCACAGGCAGGAAUCCUGAUGAAAUUUGAGGAGACCACAGCGUCGUUUACAAAGCUUC
ensembl:lincRNA